rnacentral:rRNA from 1 species
GAUGGAGGGGGAUAACUACUGGAAACGGUAGCUAAUACCGCAUAACNUCNGACCAAAGAGGGGGACCUUAGGGCCUCUCGCCAUCGGAUGUGCCCAGAUGGGAUUAGCUAGUAGGUGAGGUAAUGGCUCACCUAGGCGACGAUCCCUAGCUGGUCUGAGAGGAUGACCAGCCACACUGGAACUGAGACACGGUCCAGACUCCUACGGGAGGCAGCAGUGGGGAAUAUUGCACAAUGGGCGCAAGCCUGAUGCAGCCAUGCCGCGUGUGUGAAGAAGGCCUUCGGGUUGUAAAGCACUUUCGGCGAGGAGGAAGGGKGUAMGGUUAAUAACKUUACCGAUUGACGUUACUCGGAGAAGAAGCACCGGCUAACUCCGUGCCAGCAGCCGCGGUAAUACGGAGGGGGCAAGCGUUAAUCGGAAUGAUUGGGCGUAAAGCGCACGCAGGCGGUCUGUUAAGUUGGAUGUGAAAUCCCCGGGCUCAACCUGGGAACUGCAUUCGAAACUGACAGGCUAGAGUCUUGUAGAGGGGGGUAGAAUUCCAGGUGUAGCGGUGAAAUGCGUAGAGAUCUGGAGGAAUACCGGUGGCGAAGGCGGCCCCCUGGACAAAAACUGACGCUCAGGUGCGAAAGCGUGGGGAGCAAACAGGAUUAGAUACCCUGGUAGUCCACGCUGUAAACGAUGUCGAUUUGGAGGUUGUGCCCUUGAGGCGUGGCUUCCGGAGCUAACGCGUUAAAUCGACCGCCUGGGGAGUACGGCCGCAAGGUUAAAACUCAAAUGAAUUGACGGGGGCCCGCACAAGCGGUGGAGCAUGUGGUUUAAUUCGAUGCAACGCGAAGAACCUUACCUACUCUUG